CAUGUCGUCAAUUGAAAAGCGCCUUAUCUAAUUAUGGAGAUCAGUAAGGAACGGUAACGGUGAUAAGCCGUACACGAAUCCAUGAGAAGAAACAAUAAAACAAGCGAGAAUUGAUGAAAGCCUGCUACUUCAGCCAGCCACGUUAGCAAGCCAUGUUUUGUAUGCAUGCAUACAUUCACCUAUGGCAAAGCCUUUCUUUAAAACAACGUCGUUGCUCCCCAUAUUCUGCAUCCUCAUCUGCGGAAGGACCUGAUGCGUUCAGACGUUAAUCGAAGCGACACAGUGAACAAAAAUUAUGCAACCAUUACAGACGUUGGUGCUGGUAGUGUUUUUCAUAAUUUGGACGGAGCCUUUAGAUGGGUAUGGUUUUCGCCUUCUGAACAAAUACAGACGAUAGAUUUAGAUCGGUCAAAUCCAUGCGGCAAAAUUUUAGGCGUUUAUACUUGGUAUGACGAUGCGACAUACCGCACUCUUU